rnacentral:lncRNA from 1 species
GGGUCUCAGAUCUCAGAGGGCUUCAGCAAUCCAUCACACCACUUUUGUUGCCAAAAUAAUUAAAGAAAGACAGCGAGAAGGGACAGGAACUUCAAUUAUGAAUUGGAGGCCUGAGGAAUUGUUUGAGUGAUUAAACAAAUGGCAAAAUAUCUUGGACCAAUGCUCAACCUCAUUCCUUUGCUAUGGUAACAACUUCGGCACGACUUUUCUAAAAGAUACACUGGUUAUUGGUUGCCUCAACUAGCCGGGACGGUUGGUAUGCAGUGUCAAUUGCAAUACUUGUGGAUACCAAGAGCAUUCACCACCUGUCUACUUUCAAACUCUAUAGGAUGACACAUCAUUGUUCCAAAUAUUUAUAUUCAUCAUUUGAUCUAUUUUAAUUAAAUCGUUUAGAUCUAUUUCU